CCAGACUCCUACGGGAGGCAGCAGUGGGGAAUAUUGCACAAUGGGCGAAAGCCUGAUGCAGCAACGCCGCGUGAAGGAAGACGGUUUUCGGAUUGUAAACUUCUGUUCUUAGUGAAGAAUAAUGACGGUAACUAAGGAGCAAGCCACGGCUAACUACGUGCCAGCAGCCGCGGUAAUACGUAGGUGGCAAGCGUUGUCCGGAAUUACUGGGUGUAAAGGGAGCGUAGACGGUGAUGUAAGUCUGGAGUGAAAGGCGGGGGCCCAACCCCCGGACUGCUCUGGAAACUAUGUGACUGGAGUGCAGGAGAGGGGAGCGGAAUUCCUAGUGUAGCGGUGAAAUGCGUAGAUAUUAGGAGGAACACCAGUGGCGAAGGCGGCUCACUGGACUGUAACUGACGUUGAGGCUCGAAAGCGUGGGGAGCAAACAGGAUUAGAUACCCCAGUAAAA
rnacentral:rRNA from 1 species